UACGUAGGGUGCAAGCGUUUAAUCGGAAUUACUGGGCGUAAAGCGUGCGCAGGCGGUGAUGUAAGACAGAUGUGAAAUCCCCGGGCUCAACCUGGGAACUGCGUUUGAAACUACAAGGCUAGAGUGUAGCAGAGGGGGGUAGAAUUCCACGUGUAGCAGUGAAAUGCGUAGAGAUGUGGAGGAAUACCAAUGGCGAAGGCAGCCCCCUGGGUUAACACUGACGCUCAUGCACGAAAGCGUGGGGAGCAAACAGG
rnacentral:rRNA from 1 species